rnacentral:rRNA from 1 species
GGUUAAGCGACUAAGCGUACACGGUGGAUGCCCUGGCAGUCAGAGGCGAUGAAGGACGUGCUAAUCUGCGAUAAGCGUCGGUAAGGUGAUAUAAACCGUUAUAACCGGCGAUUUCCGAAUGGGGAAACCCAGUGUGUUUCGACACACUAUCAUUAACUGAAUCCAUAGGUUAAUGAGGCGAACCGGGGGAACUGAAACAUCUAAGUACCCCGAGGAAAAGAAAUCAACCGAGAUUCCCCCAGUAGCGGCGAGCGAACGGGGAGGAGCCCAGAGCCUGAAUCAGUGUGUGUGUUAGUGGAAGCGUCUGGAAAGGCGCGCGAUACAGGGUGACAGCCCCGUACACAAAAAUGCACAUGCUGUGAGCUCGAUGAGUAGGGCGGGACACGUGGUAUCCUGUCUGAAUAUGGGGGGACCAUCCUCCAAGGCUAAAUACUCCUGACUGACCGAUAGUGAACCAGUACCGUGAGGGAAAGGCGAAAAGAACCCCGGCGAGGGGAGUGAAAAAGAACCUGAAACCGUGUACGUACAAGCAGUGGGAGCCUCUUUUAUGG